ensembl:lncRNA
UACAGGAACAGAUCUUACGUUACCUGGACUUCCCAAGAUUGCAACUUCUCUCUCUCAAGUCAUGAGAGCUUGAAAAAUGUAUUUGUUUUGAUGAACUGCAGAGAAGUCUCAGCCUGGUCGUGGUCCCCAUUGCAGGACAGACAUGCUCUCCAGCCCAUCUUUGGUUUGCACUUUGGAGCCUGUCUUCCUGAGGGGAAAAUCCUUUCUGCAUCGACCUUCUCGACAGUGCAUUGCACCUCUAUGUGAUGGAGAAGCCUUCCUGUAUGGUGGCCAGCUGAGCCAUCCAGGUGUGUCUGUAGCUAACAAGUGA